rnacentral:rRNA from 1 species
GAUGAACGCUGGCGGCGUGCCUAAUACAUGCAAGUCGAGCGAACAGACGAGGAGCUUGCUCCUUUGACGUUAGCGGCGGACGGGUGAGUAACACGUGGAUAACCUACCUAUAAGACUGGGAUAACUUCGGGACACCGGAGCUAAUACCGGAUAAUAUAUUGAACCGCAUGGUUCAAUAGUGAAAUACGGUUUUGCUGUCACGUAUAGAUGGAUCCGCGCCGCAUGAGCUAGUUGGUAAGGUAACGGCUUACCAAGGCGACGAUGCGUAGCCGACCUGAGAGGGUGAUCGGCCACACUGGAACUGAGACACGGUCCAGACUCCUACGGGAGGCAGCAGUAGGGAAUGUUCCGCAGUGGGCGAAAGCCUGACGGAGCAACGCCGCGUGAGUGAUGAAGGUCUUCGGAUCGUAAAACUCUGUUAUUAGGGAAGAACAAAUGUGUAAGUAACUAUGCACGUCUUGACGGUACCUAAUCAGAAAGCCACGGCUAACUACGUG